GUAUAGUUAAGUGACUAAGCGUACACGGUGGAUGCCUAGGCAAUCAGAGGCGAAGAAGGACGUGCUAAUCUGCGAAAAGCUUGGAUGAGUUGAUAAGAAGCGUUUAAUCCAAGAUAUCCGAAUGGGGAAACCCAGUAGAUGAAGAAUCUACUAUCAUUAACUGAAUCCAUAGGUUAAUGAGGCGAACCGGGAGAACUGAAACAUCUAAGUACCCCGAGGAAAAGAAAUCAACCGAGAUUCUGUGAGUAGCGGCGAGCGAAAGCGGAGGAGCCUGUUAGUAAUAGCGACAAAGACAGAGGAAUGAGCUGGGAAGCUCAGCGAGACAGGGUGAUAGCCCCGUACUUGAAGUGUUUGUUGUGGUACUGAGCUAACGAUAAGUAAGGCGGGACACGAGAAAUCCUGUUUGAAGAUGGGGGGACCAUCCUCCAAGGCUAAAUACUCCUGAUUGACCGAUAGUGAACCAGUACUGUGAAGGAAAGGCGAAAAGAACCCCGGUGAGGGGAGUGAAAUAGAACCUGAAACCGUGUACGUACAAGCAGUGGGAGCCUGAAAGGGUGACUGCGUACCUUUUGUAUAAUGGGUCAGCGACUUAUAUUUUGUAGCGAGGUUAACUGAAUAAGGGAGCCGAAGGGAAACCGAGUCUUAACUGGGCGUUGAGUUGCAAGGUAUAGACCCGAAACCCGGUGAUCUAGCCAUGGGCAGGUUGAAGGUUGGGUAACACUAACUGGAGGACCGAACCGACUAAUGUUGAAAAAUUAGCGGAUGACUUGUGGCUGGGGGUGAAAGGCCAAUCAAACCGGGAGAUAGCUGGUUCUCCCCGAAAUCUAUUUAGGUAGAGCCUUGAGCGGACACCUUCGGGGGUAGAGCACUGUUUCGGCUAGGGGUCCAUCCCGGAUUACCAACCCGAUGCAAACUGCGAAUACCGAAGAGUGAUACUCAGGAGACACACGGCGGGUGCUAACGUUCGUCGUGGAGAGGGAAACAACCCAGACCGCCAGCUAAGGUCCCAAAGUCUAUAUUAAGUGGGAAACGAAGUGGGAAGGCUUAGACAGCUAGGAUGUUGGCUUAGAAGCAGCCAUCAUUUAAAGAAAGCGUAAUAGCUCACUAGUCGAGUCGGCCUGCGCGGAAGAUGUAACGGGGCUAAAUAUAGCACCGAAGCUGCGGCAUCAGUAGAAAUACUGUUGGGUAGGGGAGCGUUGUGUAAGCGGAUGAAGGUGAAUCGAGAGGUUUGCUGGACGUAUCACAAGUGCGAAUGCUGACAUAAGUAACGAUAAAACGAGUGAAAAACUCGUUCGCCGGAAGACCAAGGGUUCCUGUCCAACGUUAAUCGGGGCAGGGUGAGUCGGCCCUAAGGCGAGGCUGAAAAGCGUAGUCGAUGGGAAACGGGUUAAUAUUCCCGUACUUGGAUAAACUGCGAUGUGGGGGACGGAGAAGGUUAGGUUAUCGACCUGUUGGAUGGUCGUUUAAGGUGGUAGGUGGAAUGUUUAGGCAAAUCCGGACAUUCAUAACACUGAGAGCUGAUGACGAGGUGCUACGGCACUGAAGUAACUGAUACCCUGCCUUCCAGGAAAAGCCACUAAGCUUCAGGUUUAUCUAAACCGUACUGAAAAACCGACACAGGUGGUCAGGUAGAGAAUACUCAGGCGCUUGAGAGAACUCGGGUGAAGGAACUAGGCAAAAUAGCACCGUAACUUCGGGAGAAGGUGCGCUUACCGUAAUUGUAGUCCCUUGCGGAUGAAGGUGAAGUAAGUCGAAGAUACCAGCUGGCUGCAACUGUUUUAUUAAAAACUUAACUGGGCGUUGAGUUGCAAGGUAUAGACCCGAAACCCGGUGAUCUAGCCAUGGGCAGGUUGAAGGUUGGGUAACACUAACUGGAGGACCGAACCGACUAAUGUUGAAAAAUUAGCGGAUGACUUGUGGCUGGGGGUGAAAGGCCAAUCAAACCGGGAGAUAGCUGGUUCUCCCCGAAAUCUAUUUAGGUAGAGCCUUGAGCGGACACCUUCGGGGGUAGAGCACUGUUUCGGCUAGGGGUCCAUCCCGGAUUACCAACCCGAUGCAAACUGCGAAUACCGAAGAGUGAUACUCAGGAGACACACGGCGGGUGCUAACGUUCGUCGUGGAGAGGGAAACAACCCAGACCGCCAGCUAAGGUCCCAAAGUCUAUAUUAAGUGGGAAACGAAGUGGGAAGGCUUAGACAGCUAGGAUGUUGGCUUAGAAGCAGCCAUCAUUUAAAGAAAGCGUAAUAGCUCACUAGUCGAGUCGGCCUGCGCGGAAGAUGUAACGGGGCUAAAUAUAGCACCGAAGCUGCGGCAUCAGUAGAAAUACUGUUGGGUAGGGGAGCGUUGUGUAAGCGGAUGAAGGUGAAUCGAGAGUUUGCUGGACGUAUCACAAGUGCGAAUGCUGACAUAAGUAACGAUAAAACGAGUGAAAAACUCGUUCGCCGGAAGACCAAGGGUUCCUGUCCAACGUUAAUCGGGGCAGGGUGAGUCGGCCCCUAAGGCGAGGCUGAAAAGCGUAGUCGAUGGGAAACGGGUUAAUAUUCCCGUACUUGGAUAAACUGCGAUGUGGGGACGGAGAAGGUUAGGUUAUCGACCUGUUGGAUGGUCGUUUAAGGUGGUAGGUGGAAUGUUUAGGCAAAUCCGGACAUUCAUAACACUGAGAGCUGAUGACGAGGUGCUACGGCACUGAGUAACUGAUACCCUGCUUCCAGGAAAAGCCACUAAGCUUCAGGUUUAUCUAAACCGUACUGAAAACCGACACAGGUGGUCAGGUAGAGAAUACUCAGGCGCUUGAGAGAACUCGGGUGAAGGAACUAGGCAAAAUAGCACCGUAACUUCGGGAGAAGGUGCGCUUACCGUAAUUGUAGUCCCUUGCGGAUGAAGGUGAAGUAAGUCGAAGAUACCAGCUGGCUGCAACUGUUUAUUAAAAACACAGCACUCUGCAAACACGAAAGUGGACGUAUAGGGUGUGAUGCCUGCCCGGUGCUGGAAGGUUAAUUGAUGGUGUUAUCGAAAGAGAAGCUCCUGAUCGAAGCCCCAGUAAACGGCGGCCGUAACUAUAACGGUCCUAAGGUAGCGAAAUUCCUUGUCGGGUAAGUUCCGACCUGCACGAAUGGCAUAAUGAUGGCCAGGCUGUCUCCACCCGAGACUCAGUGAAAUUGAAAUCGCCGUGAAGAUGCGGUGUACCCGCGGCUAGACGGAAAGACCCCGUGAACCUUUACUAUAGCUUGACACUGAACAUUGAAUUUUGAUGUGUAGGAUAGGUGGGAGACUUUGAAGAUGACACGCCAGUGUUGUUGGAGUCGUCCUUGAAAUACCACCCUUUAACGUUUGAUGUUCUAACGAAGGAUGCGAAACGCGUUCUCGGACAGUGUCUGGUGGGUAGUUUGACUGGGGCGGUCUCCUCCCAAAGAGUAACGGAGGAGCACGAAGGUUUGCUAAUGACGGUCGGACAUCGUCAGGUUAGUGCAAUGGUAUAAGCAAGCUUAACUGCGAGACAGACAAGUCGAGCAGGUGCGAAAGCAGGUCAUAGUGAUCCGGUGGUUCUGAAUGGAAGGGCCAUCGCUCAACGGAUAAAAGGUACUCCGGGGAUAACAGGCUGAUACCGCCCAAGAGUUCAUAUCGACGGCGGUGUUUGGCACCUCGAUGUCGGCUCAUCACAUCCUGGGGCUGAAGUAGGUCCCAAGGGUAUGGCUGUUCGCCAUUUAAAGUGGUACGCGAGCUGGGUUUAGAACGUCGUGAGACAGUUCGGUCCCUAUCUGCCGUGGGCGUUGGAUGAUUGAGAGGGGCUGCUCCUAGUACGAGAGGACCGGAGUGGACGCAUCACUGGUGUUCCAGUUGUCUCGCCAGAGGCAUUGCUGGGUAGCUAAAUGCGGAAGAGAUAAGUGCUGAAAGCAUCUAAGCACGAAACUUGCCUCAAGAUGAGUCAUCCCUGACUUAGAGUCAGUAAGGGUUGUUGUAGACUACGACGUAGAUAGGCUGGAUGUGUAAGUGUAGUGAUACAUUGAGCUAACCAGUACUAAUUGCCCGAGAGGCUUAACU
rnacentral:rRNA from 1 species